UACGUAGGGUCCGAGCGUUGUCCGGAAUUACUGGGCGUAAAGAGCUCGUAGGUGGUUUGUCGCGUUGUUCGUGAAAACUCACAGCUUAACUGUGGGCGUGCGGGCGAUACGGGCAGACUUGAGUACUGCAGGGGGAGACUGGAAUUCCUGGUGUAGCGGUGGAAUGCGCAGAUAUCAGGAGGAACACCGGUGGCGAAGGCGGCGAUCUGGGAAGAUACUGACGCUGAGGUGCGAAAGCGUGGGGAGCAAACAGG
rnacentral:rRNA from 1 species